CCUCCCUCAUCUCUCUCUCUCUCCUCUCUCUCUCUCUCUCUCUCUCUCUCUUCUCGGCGGAGACUUCGAUAGAUUCGAUGCGAUUGCCCCUCGCUCCGCCCAUCUCUCUCCAAUUUCCCACUCAAUCCCCCUCCAAAUCAACCCCUUGAUGUAGAAAUCUAGGGUUUCGGACGAGUUUCCGCUUCCGAUUUUGAGCUUCCGAGCUCAAAACCCGCCCAAAAACCUCUUGCUCCUCCGGAGAAGUGGAGGCGGGGCGCUUCGAUGGUUUUGACGCGGUUCUCGUGGCCCUACGGGGGGCGGCACGUCGCCAUAUGCGGCUCCUUCACGAGGUGGGUCGAUCAGUAUCAAAUGGCGCUCGUCGAGGGCUCGAUGGGGGAGUACCAGGCGAUUUUCGAUCUCCCCCCUGGGGUUUAUCAGUACCGGUUUCUGGUUGAUGGUAUGUGGAGGUGUGACGAACAGAAGCUUUGUGCUACUAAUGAAUAUGGGAUAUUGAACAAUGUUAUAUUCGUGGAGGAACCUAUGACAUCGGUUAUUCACCAUGAAGCUUUCAGAGGCAUGGAUAUGGAUGAUGGUGUUCUUUUGUCAACAAUGCCUGCAGAGCCACUGCUUCAGACAUCAGAUAUACGCAUAGAGAGUUUUCGUCAUUGGGUGUCUGCAAUGUUGUCCGAAAAAAACAUUUUUGACAUUAUUCCGGUGUCAAGCAAGGUCUCAGUUAUGGAUCUUCAAUUGCCUGUGAAACAAGCAUUCCAUAUAAUGGCAGAAGAAGGCUUCACUGUAGUCCCUCUUUGGGAUGAUAGCAGGGGAAACAUAACUGGGAUGCUUACGCCUUCUGAUUUCAUAUUAAUACUUAGAGAGUUGCAGAACAACAUGCGAGCUCUCGCCAAUGAAGAGCUUGAAAUGCAUUCUAUUUCUUCUUGGAAAGAAGGCAAGCUGCAGCUUUAUGGCCAACCUGAUGCAGCUGUUGGAGUGAAUAGAAGGCCGCUAAUUCAUGUUGGCGACUUGGAGAGUCUAAAAGAUGUGGCUCUAAAGAUUGUACAGAAUGAGAUAUCCUCAGUUCCUAUAUUCAAAUCCUCGCUAGACGACGCAUCAUCCAUGCCAUUAUUAAAUCUCGCAAGCCUCCCUGGGAUCUUGAGAUUCAUCUGCAAGAAUUCUGCGGAACUUAUUCAACUGUUCCCGCUUCUGCAAUUUCAAAUAUCUGCCAUUCCUCUCGGCACAUGGCUGCCAACUACUGGUAGGGGAAGCGGUCGCCCGCUGUCGAUUCUGCGACGGGAUGCCCUUCUAAGUUCUGCACUUAAUUUGCUUCUUGAAGCUAGAGUAAGCUCAAUUCCGAUUGUUGAUGAGAAUGGUUCGUUGCUUGAUGUCUACGCUCGCAGGUGAUAAUGAAAAAAAGUCUAAGAUGCGAUAAGCUGCUUGGACAUAUUGCCAUAUGAAAUCUACCUCCCUCGAUAAUCAUAACCUACUUAUAGACCUGUAGAUUUUUACAAUGUUUGCGCCUUAUUCCUCUUGUCGCAGGGAAAAGUGAAUGAUUCUCUUAUAAAUCGAGUGGUUAUACGCAGCUUUUGAUUUUUGAGUAGGGUAAAGUGCAAAUCGUGAUAGUCAUCAAUGUUUUAAUAAAAACAAAAGGAAAACAUUAUAAAGUUUUUUUUUUCUUUUGGAGUUGGGUAUUCUCUCAAGAGGAAGAUGGAGAUUGAAGCUAGGAUCCAGAUUGUGCCACAACUUGUUAAACUCUAGAACUCCUAAAGCAUUUGUUUAUCUAAUUUUUAUGCAGUGACAUUAUGGCUCUAGCGAAGGACAAUAUUUAUGCUCGAAUUCAGCUUGAACAAAUGACCGUGGAGCAUGCUCUGGAACAGGUGUACCAGGUAAAUGGUCACAGGCGGUGUUACACUUGUUUCCGUUCAACAACUUUCCAUGAGAUUUU